CAGUCGCCGCGGGAAUACGAAGGGGGCUAGCGUUAAUCGGAAUUACUGGGCGUAAAGCGUGCGCAGGCGGUCCGCUAAGACAGAUGUGAAAUCCCCGGGCUUAACCUGGGACCUGCAUUUGUGACUGUAUAGCUAGAGUACGGUAGAGGGGGAUGGAAUUCCGCGUGUAGCAGUGAAAUGCGUAGAUAUGCGGAGGAACACCGAUGGCGAAGGCAAUCCCCUGGACCUGUACUGACGCUCAUGCACGAAAGCGUGGGGAGCAAACAGGAUUAGAUACCCGUGUAGUCCCUGUCUCUUAUAC
rnacentral:rRNA from 1 species